UCAAAGGAAUUGACGGGGACCCGCACAAGCAGCGGAGCGUGUGGUUUAAUUCGUUGCUACACGAAGAACCUUACCUGGGUUUGACAUAUAGGUUGUAGGGAACUGAAAAGGGACGACCCUUCGGGGAGCCUAUACAGGUGUUGCAUGGCUGUCGUCAGCUCGUGUCGUGAGAUGUUCGGUUAAGUCCGCUAACGAGCGCAACCCUCGUCGUAUGUUAUAUGUGUCAUACGAGACUGCCGGUAAAAAGCCGGAGGAAGGUGAGGAUGAUGUCAAGUCAGCAUGACCUUUAUAUCCAGGGCUACACACACGCUACAAUGGUCUGUACAAUGGGUAGCCAAGCCGCGAGGUGGAGCCAAUCCUCAAAGCUGGCCUCAGUUCAGAUCGCAGGCUGCAACCCGCCUGCGUGAAGCCGGAGUUGCUAGUAACCGCAGGUCAGCUAUACUGCGGUGAAUACGUUCCCGGGGCUU
rnacentral:rRNA from 1 species